rnacentral:rRNA from 1 species
GCGCGAGGCGAUGGUAUGCUGAAUGCACCAGUUUCCAAUGGAUCACUGAAGUUAAGCAACGUUACGCGUAGUUGUUAUCCGGAUGGAUGACCAUCUGGGCCAUGGCGUCCUGCUGGCU